CCUACGGGCGGCAGCAGUGAGGAAUAUUGGUCAAUGGCCGAAAGGCUGAACCAGCCAAGUCGCGUGAAGGAAGACGGAUCUAUGGUUUGUAAACUUCUUUUAUAGGGGAAUAAAGGUAUCCACGUGUGGAUAUUUGCAUGUACCCUAUGAAUAAGCAUCGGCUAACUCCGUGCCAGCAGCCGCGGUAAUACGGAGGAUGCGAGCGUUAUCCGGAUUUAUUGGGUUUAAAGGGUGCGUAGGUUGUUUUUUAAGUCAGCGGUGAAAGUUUGCGGCUCAACCACAAGACUGCCGUUGAAACUGGAAGACUUGAGUGGGUGUGAGGUAGGCGGAAUGCGUGGUGUAGCGGUGAAAUGCAUAGAUAUCACGCAGAACUCCGAUUGCGAAGGCAGCUUACU
rnacentral:rRNA from 1 species